ACAUAACAUUGUACCUUUAUUUCAUGUCAGGACAGGUAUGCAUGGUGAUGCGGGUUAAUCUAGAUUGCCCUUGUUGUUGCAAGAAAAUGAGAAGAAUCAUUCUACGAAUGAAAGAAAUAGAGAUGCAUCUGAUUGAGAAGCAAGAGAAGAGAAUAAGCAUAAUGGGGCGGUUUGAUCCGGCAGAUAUAGCCAUAAGAAUCAGGAAAAAAAUGAACCGGAGAGUAGAGAUUUUGGACAUUCAAUUACCCCAACAGCCUGACGAGAUGCAUCA